AGUGAACGCUGGCGGUAGGCCUAACACAUGCAAGUCGAACGGCAGCACAGUAAGAGCUUGCUCUUACGGGUGGCGCGUGGCGGACGGGUGAGGAAUACAUCGGAAUCUACUUUUUCGUGGGGGAUAACGUAGGGAAACUUACGCUAAUACCGCAUACGACCUACGGGUGAAAGCAGGGGAUCUUCGGACCUUUCGCGAUUGAAUGAGCCGAUGUCGGGUUAGUUAGUUGGCGGGUUUAAUGUCGACCAAGGCGACGAUCCGUAGCUGGUCUGAGAGGAUGAACAGCCAGACUGGAAUUGAGAAACGGUCGUUGCUCGUAAGGAUGGGAGCAGUGGGGAAUAUUCGACAAUGGGGGCGUACAUGAUCCAGGCAUACAGCGUGGGUUAUGAUGGCCUUCAGGUUGUAGAGCCCUUGUGUUGGGAAAGAAAAGCAGCAGGUUAAUACCCCGCUGUUCUGACGGUACCCAAAGAAUAAGCACCGGCUAACUUCGUG
rnacentral:rRNA from 1 species